GUGACGUUACCCGCCCGCGCCGCCCUCCUGGGGUGCCUCUCAGGGACCCAGGCGCUCAGCUGCUGGGGCCGCGGAGGGCGUUCGCGGGGCGCCGGGGAAGGCUAGGGCCGCGGGGUCCCCGGGGCGCCGUCCCCAACCGCCGACGCCUGCCAGACCACCAAGUGGGGGCCAUGUCGACGUGUGAGGAGCCUGGUGGAAGGUGAUACUGGAAUUCCGGCACUGGGCCUGCAACCCUUUUAGUCCACAGUUGUCAGAAUCUAAAGGGAAGAAAAACGAAGUGCUCAGAACCCUCACAGAAGCCGGGCACCUCAUCCCGUGUGUGGGUUUUUUCCCCAGUACAAACCCAUUGUGGGGACAGGCGCUUUUGAAGAAAAAAUUCAGAUUCCCGGGCUGAAGUGGCUCCUCACAGCCUUGAACCUGACCCCCAGCUUCCCGCUAAAGCCGAGCGUGCCCAGCACGGCGAGGCCCUGGUGUGUGAUGUUGCCCGCACUGUGUCCAAGUGUUCUCAUUGUUCAAUUCCCACCUGUGCCAACUCCUGGGAUCUUAUCGGGAAGUGGCUCAUCAUCAGCUUUAGGUGUUUUCUAUCUAUUGGGAGCCUGCCUUUCUCUGGCACCAGCUGCAACCAAUAAUUAUUUUAGACAGUUUAACAACAGCUUGACCAUCACCUGAUGAUCACCUGACAUUUCUGUUGGGGCGCGGGCCCAUCUCCUGCCCCGCUCAUGUGGGGCUCAGUCUGCCCAACCUUUCCCCAAGGGCCUGUCUUUACUUCAUUUGUGGUAAGCCCCAAGCAGAAUGGACUCUUGUUAUGAUCCCAGGAACUGCUCACGGCCACCUCUGUGGAUGAACACCUAGCGGCUGCUCUAAAUACAUGCUGUGAAAGUUGUCAGAAUCAAAAUGGAGUCACUAAUGUUAAGAAAGCCCUGACAAAGAGUUGGUGGGGAAGGCCACGAAGAGAGGACACUUAUGCUUGCAUGCCUGAUACCAGAAAGGACUACAAAAACCACAGCCCGGCACAGAGGCCAUCACACCCUUACACAAAAAAUAUUUCUGCAAGGACAACUGCCCAGCAAUUGCCUGUCCAACCUCAGACUGGAAUGACCUUUGUUAUUGAUGUUUGUAGCCAAGGAGAAUUAUCUCAAAACCACUGUGAUCCUGCUCGCUUUUCCUUUAAAGACCUUUGUCUUCCUUGACCUCCCUGAAUAGGCAUAUGGUUUACUAUGGCGUGUGUACUCUCCUUGUAAUGUUCUGUUCUCAAGCUAACAUCUAUUCUUCUAGAGAACCUCUCUCUUAGGCUGACAACGCUGUGGAUCUGGGCUCCCAGGAACUGGGGCUGACAUCAGAGGGGUGGAAAGAGAACAGCAGCUCUCCCUGAGGGGAUGCUUGCCAAGGAUAAGGAGACGAUGGUUCUCUAAGGAUUAUUUUAUAUUCAUCUAAAAGGGUAUUUUUGUUGUUACCCCUAGCCUUUUUUCCCUUUUAAUUUUCUGAUGAAUAAUUUAUAUAAAGAAAACCCAUUCUAAGUGUGCAAUUCUAUGAGUUUUGACAAAUGUCUUCACCCAUGCAAAUCCUGUUACAACGGAGAUAUAGAACAUUUCCAUUACUUAAAAACAGCCAGGUGCUGUAGCUCAUGCCUGUAAUCCCAGCACUUUGGGAGGUCAAGGCGAGAGGAUUACUUGAGCCCAGGAGUUCAAGACCAGCCUGGGCAACAUAGUGAUGCCCCAUCUCUACAAAAAUAGAAGAAAUUAGCUGGGCAUGGUGGUACAUGCCUGUGAUCCCAGCUACUUGGGAGGCUGAGGUAAGAGGAUUGCUUGAGCCUGGGAGGUGGAGGCUGCAGUAAGCCACAAUCUCACCACUGCACUCCAGCCUGGGUGACAGUCAGACCCUGACUCCAAACAAAAACCAAAACUUCCUUCUUGCCCCUUUGCAGCCAGACUGUUUUCUGUCAUUGUGGAUGCAUCUGUUCUAGAAAUUUACAUGGAUGGAAUCACUCAGUCUUUUGUAUCUGGCUUCUUUUACUUGGCACAGUGUUUGUGAAACUCAUCAUUGUUCCACAUAACAGUAGUUCCUUUUAAUUGCCAAGUGGCAUUCCUUGGUGUGAAUGCACCACAGCUGGGCUAGCCACCCAGAUGCUGAUGGGCAGUCGAUAGGCGGUAGGAUGUCCCCAUUUUCAGUCACUAUGAAUUGGUCUGCUGUAAGCACUAGAGUAGAAAUUUUUUUUUAGAGACAGGGUCUCGCACCGUCAUCCAGGCUGGAGGGCAGUGGCUCAUAGCUCACUGCAGCCUCAAACUCCUGAGCUCGGGCAAUCCUCCCACCUCAGCCUCCCAAGUAACUGAAACUACAGGCACACACCACUACACUUGGCUAAUUUUUAAACUUUUUGUAGAGACGGGGUCUUGCUGUGUUGCCCAGGCUGGUCUUGAACUCCUGGGCACAAGCAAUCCUCCCACCUCUCAAGUAGCUGUAAUAGGUGUAAGCCACUGCCCAGCACCAUUUAUUGAAGAAUCUGUCCUUUCCACAGUGAGUGUGCUUAGCACCUUUGUUGGAAAUCAGUCGGCUGUAGAAAGCGGAUUAAUUUCUGGGCCCUCUGUUCUGUUCCAUUGGUCUGUGUGUCUGUUUUUAUGCCAGUUCCAUGCUGUUUUGGUUACUGUAGCUUUGUAGUGUAUUUUGAGUCUGGGAGUGUGAUGCCUCCAGCUUUGUUCUUUUUGUUCAGGAUGGCUUUGGCUGUUUGGGGUCUUUUGUGGUUCCAUACAAAUUUUAAUAUUAUUUCUUUUUCUAAAAAGAAU
rnacentral:lncRNA from 10 species